AUGCUUAAGAUUGACCUUGCUAAAGCUUUUGAUUGUCUAGAAUGGAAUUUCAUUAUUUCGGCGCUGUCACGUAAAGGGUUGCGUGGUCGUUUUGUUAAUUUGGCUCAUGCUUGCAUUUCUUCGCCUACGUUUUCUGUGCUCAUUAUUGGUCAACCUUCUAAAUUUAAAAGUUUCUGAGGUAUCCGACAAGGUUGUCCUAUGUCUCCUUAUUUAUUUGUUCUUGCCAUUAAUGAACUUUCCAUCAUGCUUAAUGAAGCUCUAUAGGUCAAUCAUUUGCAGGGUAUUUCUCUUGGACCAAACUGCCCCUCUGUGCAUUCCCUCCAUUUUGCAGAUGAUCUGUUGGUGUGUGGGAAAGCUACUUGUCAAGAAGCUCAGGCUAUGGCUACUCUUAUUCAACAUUUUUGU
rnacentral:rRNA from 1 species